rnacentral:tRNA from 1 species
UAAAAAUUAGUUUAAAAAAAAUAUCUAAUUGUCAAUUAGAAGAAAAUAGUUAAUAUUAUUUUUUU